UACGAAGGGGGCUAGCGUUGCUCGGAAUCACUGGGCGUAAAGCGCACGUAGGCGGAUUGCUAAGUCAGGGGUGAAAUCCUGGAGCUCAACUCCAGAACUGCCUUUGAUACUGGCGACCUUGAGUCCGGGAGAGGUGAGUGGAACUGCGAGUGUAGAGGUGAAAUUCGUAGAUAUUCGCAAGAACACCAGUGGCGAAGGCGGCUCACUGGCCCGGUUCUGACGCUGAGGUGCGAAAGCGUGGGGAGCAAACAGG
rnacentral:rRNA from 1 species